rnacentral:rRNA from 1 species
AGCGAACGCUGGCGGCAGGCCUAACACAUGCAAGUCGAACGAAGUCUUCGGACUUAGUGGCGGACGGGUGAGUAACACGUGGGAACGUGCCUUUAGGUUCGGAAUAACUCAGGGAAACUCGUGCUAAUACCGAAUGUGCCCUUCGGGGGAAAGAUUUAUCGCCUUUAGAGCGGCCCGCGUCUGAUUAGCUAGUUGGUGAGGUAAAGGCUCACCAAGGCGACGAUCAGUAGCUGGUCUGAGAGGAUGAUCAGCCACAGUGGGACUGAGACGCGGCCCAAACUCCUACGGGAGGCAGCAGUGGGGAAUCUUGCGCAAUGGGCGAAAGCCUGACGCAGCCAUGCCGCGUGAAUGAUGAAGGUCUUAGGAUUGUAAAAUUCUUUCACCGGGGACGAUAAUGACGGUACCCGGAGAAGAAGCCCCGGCUAACUUCGUGCCAGCCGCCGCAGUAAUAC